rnacentral:rRNA from 1 species
GAAGGGUUUGAUUAUGGCUCAGAUUGAACGCUGGGAUGCUUUACACAUGCAAGUCGAACGGCAGCACGGACUUCGGUCUGGUGGCGAGUGGCGAACGGGUGAGUAAUGUAUCCGGAACGUGCCCUAAUGUGGCAGAGACCAGCUGCGCGAAAGCGUAGCUAAUACCGCACACGCCCUUCGGGGAAAGCGGGGGACCUUCGGGCCUCGCACUAUUAGAGCGGCCGAUAUCGGAUUAGCCUAGUUGGUGGGGUAACGGCUCACCAAGGCGACGAUCCGUAGCUGGUUUGAGAGGACGACCAGCCACACUGGGACUGAGACACAAUGCCCAGACUCCUACGGGAGGCAUAGUGAAAUUUUGGACAAUGGGGAAACCUGAUCCAGCCAUCCCGCGUGUGCGAUAGAGCCUUCAAUUUGUAAAGCACUUUUGGCAGGAAAGAAACGGCUUUGGGAUAAUACCCCGUGCAACUGACAGUACCUGCAGAAUAAGCACCGGCUAACUACGUGCCAGCAGCCGCGGUAAUACGUAGGGUGCAAGCGUUAAUCGGAAUUACUGGGCGUAAAGCGUGCGCAGACGGUUCGGAAAGAAAGAUGCUCUUGAAAUCCCCGGAAGCAACUUUGGAACUGCAUUUUUUAACUACCGAGCUAGAGUGUGUCAGAGGGAGGUGGAGAUUCCGCGUGUAGCAGUGAAAUGCGUAGAUAUGCGGAGGAACACCGAUGGCGAAGGCAACCUCCUGGGGGAUAACACUGACGCUCAUGCGGCAUUGAAGACAAGCAGGAUGCGAAUGCCCUGGUAGUCCGCCUAAACGAUGUCAACUAGCUGUUGGGGCCUUCGGCCCUUGGUAGCGCAACUAACGUGAGAUUGACCGCCUGGGGAAUUACGGUCGCAGAUUUAAAACUCAAGGAAUUGACGGGGACCCGCACAAGCGGUGGAUGAUGUGGGUCUAAUUCGAUGCAACGCGAAAAACCUUACCUACCCUUGACAUGUCUGAAUCCCGAAGAGAUUUGGGAGUGCUCGCGAGAACCGGAACACGUUGAGUGCUGCAUGGCUGUCGUCAGCUCGUGUCGUGAGAUGUUGGGUUAAGUCCCGCAACGAGCGCAACCCUUGUCAUUGCUACGAAAGGGCGCUCUAAUGAGACUGCCGGUGACAAACCGGAGGAAGGUGGGGAUGACGUCAAGUCCUCAUGGCCCUUAUGGGUAGGGCUUCACACGUCAUACAAUGGUCAGGACAGAGGGUCGCCAACCCGCGAGGAGCCAAUCGGCUUGAUCGUAGUCCGGAUCGCAGUCUGCAACUCGACUGCGUAGGUGGAGAUCAUGUGUCGCGGAUCAGCAUGUCGCGGUGAAUACGUUCCGGGUCUUGUACACACCGCCCGUCACACCAGCAGAAUUAGGUUUUUUACCAAGAAGUAGUUAGCCCUAACCGUAAGGAGGGCGAUUACCACGGUAAGUUCGCGGCUGGGGUGAAGUCGUAACAAGGUAG